rnacentral:misc_RNA from 1 species
GAUGAAGAACGUAGCGAAAUGCGAUAAGUAAUGUGAAUUGCAGAAUUCAGUGAAUCAUCGAAUCUUUGAACGCACAUUGCGCCCGCCAGUAUUCUGGCGGGCAUGCCUGUUCGAGCGUCAUUUCAACCAUCAAGCCCCCGGGCUUGUGUUGGGGACCUGCGGCUGCCCGCAGGCCCUGAAAACCAGUGGCGGGCUCGCUGUCACACCGAGCGUAGUAGCAUAUCAUCUCGCUCUGGGCGUGCUGCGGGUUCCGGCCGUUAAAGCCUUUUUUUUUUACCCAAGGUUGACCUCGGAUCAGGUAGGAAGACCCGCUGAACUUAAGCAUAUCAAUAAGCGGAGGA